rnacentral:rRNA from 1 species
AGAUUGAACGCUAGCGGCAUGCCUAACACAUGCAAGUCCAACGUGAAAGGGGAGCAAUCCCCCGGUAGGGUGGCAAACGGGUGAGUAAUACAUGGGUGAUCUACCUUAGGGAUGGGGAUAUCCUUCCGAAAGGAGGGGCAAUACCGAAUAUUGUCCGGAGCCGUGAAGGGUUCCGGGGAAAGGGAGGCCUCUGAUACAAGCUUUCGCCUUAAGAUGAGCCCAUGGCCCAUCAGCUAGUUGGUGGGGUAAAGGCCUACCAAGGCUACGAUCGGUAGCUGGUCUGAGAGGACGACCAGCCACACUGGGACUGAGACACGGCCCAGACUCCUACGGGAGGCAGC